CCAGAAGAACACAGACUUUCCCAGCAAGAGCCAAGGUCCACUUUCCAUUCUGCUCAAGAAUCAGUAGGACUUGGAGACGAGAGGCUCAGAAGUUAUUCCUGGACAUGAAUGAACACUGACCCACAGAGAUCAGUUUCUGCUGAAGGAUCAGCUCUACUGCUCUCGGAGCAACAAAUGAAACCUCUCAGCAUCAAAUUCAGCACGUCCUGCUUUUUUUUGCAGACACAGGCUAAGGAUGUUGGGGGAUGGCCGGAGCUGAUUGUGAAAUCAGCGACCACCAGGCGGCGGCCACUGGAGUGGACAGCGUGGGAGUGCUCCGGGUACGCCCAUCACUGUCCGGAGCCGAUUGUGAAACCAGCGAUCACCUGCCUCGACACAACGCAGACACGAUGCAGAGGGAUGCUCAAGCUACGCACACCGCUAUCGCAAGAGACGCGAAUGAAGAAACCUCCAAGAAACUAUAAAAGAGACUGAAUAAGGGGGGUGGGGUGUGGGGCACUGCAGUGUGGGACACUGCAGGAGGGGCGGUUAGGAGACCCCUACCCACCCAGCGCUGUUUUGCUUGCUACUGCUUGCUGUA